GAUGAACGCUGGCGGCGUGCCUAAUACAUGCAAGUCGAGCGAAUGGAUUAAGAGCUUGCUCUUAUGAAGUUAGCGGCGGACGGGUGAGUAACACGUGGGUAACCUGCCCAUAAGACUGGGAUAACUCCGGGAAACCGGGGCUAAUACCGGAUAACAUUUUGAAACGCAUGGUUCGAAAUUGAAAGGCGGCUUCGGCUGUCACUUAUGGAUGGACCCGCGUCGCAUUAGCUAGUUGGUGAGGUAACGGCUCACCAAGGCAACGAUGCGCAGCCGACCUGAGAGGGUGAUCGGCCACACUGGGACUGAGACACGGCCCAGACUCCUACGGGAGGCAGCAGUAGGGAAUCUUCCGCAAUGGACGAAAGUCUGACGGAGCAACGCCGCGUGAGUGAUGAAGGCUUUCGGGUCGUAAAACUCUGUUGUUAGGGAAGAACAAGUGCUAGUUGAAUAAGCUGGCACCUUGACGGUACCUAACCAGAAGGCCACGGCUAACUACGUGCCAGCCGCCGCAGUAA
rnacentral:rRNA from 1 species